rnacentral:rRNA from 1 species
UACGUAGGGGGCUAGCGUUGUCCGGAUUUAUUGGGCGUAAAGAGCGUGUAGGCGGCCAGAUAGGUCAGCUGUGAAAACUCGAGGCUUAACCUCGAGAUGUCGGCUGAAACCAUCUGGCUAGAGUCCGGAAGAGGAGAAUGGAAUUCCCGGUGUAGCGGUGAAAUGCGCAGAUAUCGGGAAGAACACCCGUGGCGAAGGCGGUUCUCUGGGACGGUACUGACGCUGAGACGCGAAAGCGUGGGGAGCGAACAGG